UACGUAGGUGGCAAGCGUUGUCCGGAUUUACUGGGCUUAAAGGGCGUGCAGGCGGUUUGUUAAGUGCAGGGUGAAAGCUCCCGGCUCAACUGGGAGAGGUCCUUUCAUACUGGCAAACUCGAGGGAGGCAGAGGAAAGUGGAAUUCCCGGUGUAGUGGUGAUAUGCGUAGAUAUCGGGAGGAACACCUGUGGCGAAGGCGGCUUUCUGGGCCUUACCUGACGCUGAGGCGCGAAAGCUAGGGGAGCAAACAGG
rnacentral:rRNA from 1 species